rnacentral:lncRNA from 1 species
CACAAUUUCGUUUAUUGCAAGUAGAAUUCCUGUGGAGCUGUGAAGUGCAUCAGUUCUAAUGCUUGUUACUUUUUCUCCAUUAUAUCUCCUGCUUGUUCUUUUACUAGUCUGUACAGUCAUGUUUCAGUAGAUGGCACCCUGCAUUGUGCAUUUGCUUUCUAUGCUGCAGCAAGGGAAACAGCUGGUAUGUGAUUACAACUUGAUGGAAAAGUAUUCAGCUUAAAAAAUGCAGGAGAAUUGGUGUUGAGCUGUCACAAGACAUGGGGCAUAAGGUUAGAUAAUUGAUAUUUUGGCAGAAAAGGCAGAGAAAUUCGUCUGUUUUGAAUGCUGUGUUACAGUUUAGGAUUCAAAGGAUAUUUCUUAAAAUGGGUUUUUUAAAACAUUUUGUUUUAUUUACUUUAGUAAAGCUACUAUGAGGAAUACAGAAUUCUUGAGUUGUUGAUAACAAAAGGAAGUGAAAUUUUGGUUUCAUAAUUCAGAUUUUUACUUUUAUAUCAUUACUACUUAACAGUUACUUUUUUAUAUAUUCAGCUAUCAUAAUAAAGUCUAAAGUAUAGCUAUUUAUUUUGCUCUAUGUGAUUUUCUUUUCUUCCUACUUUUGCUGAGUCAGUCAUUGGGGUCCCAACCAAAUUCUGUGAAAAGAUCAAAUCUGAACUAAUAGCUCCUAACAGAGAAGGAUAAGUAUGGACUUUGAAAAUAAACUGGCAGUAGAAGAUUGGCUUAUCAACUGUUUGCUCCUGAGCCUGUUACUAUUUUACAUAUUUUAAUUAAAAGUAUCUUUAACUUAAUAAUCUUUUAUUUGUACCCAUAUCAAUUUCCCAUUAGAAUGGUACCUAUUUUAGUUGUACUUUUUGUUUAAACUGCCAACACUAAAAUUUAAGUCUAGUUAACUCUUACGUACUCACAGUUAGUACUGCUUUUCUUUUAUCAUGGGAGAAAGGAAAUGAUUUCACUCCAAAUUUCAAAUAUGUAUUUUAAAUAUUACUGUUUUUUGUUAUAAAAUUGCCACUUCUCACAAAAGGAUUUGAGUCAAUGUUAUAAGCCCUCUGUACUGAUACUUGAAUGUAUCUGGAUGCUUAGACAGACUUUGUAUAUUUACACCAACUGUACACAGCUGUCCAGUAAAAUGUUUAUAAGAAGACAGUGAUGAUGUGAACCCCAAAUGCUUCAAUUAGUAAUAUACUGUUUACAUAAUGAUUGGCUAACCAGGAUGAAAGAGAUUGGUUAAAGGAAUGAAAACUAACACUGUGUCAAGAGUUGGAUCAGGUUGUUAUUUUAAGAGCAAAU